GAAAGAUUCGAGCCUGCGGCAGGUUCGGGUCGAACGUAGUGAGACAACGGAGCCGUCUACGGCGACGAUCCGAAGGACGAACGAAGUGAGUCAUCCUGCACGACCCACCA
rnacentral:sRNA from 1 species